UUGAACGCUGGCGGCAUGCUUUACACAUGCAAGUCGAACGGCAGCGGGGGCUUCGGCCUGCCGGCGAGUGGCGAACGGGUGAGUAAUGCAUCGGAACGUGCCCAGUCAUAGGGGAUAACUACGCGAAAGCGUAGCUAAUACCGCAUACGCCCUGAGGGGGAAAGCGGGGGACCGUAAGGCCUCGCGCGAUCGGAGCGGCCGAUGUCAGAUUAGGUAGUUGGUGGGGUAAAGGCUCACCAAGCCGACGAUCUGUAGCUGGUCUGAGAGGACGACCAGCCACACUGGGACUGAGACACGGCCCAGACUCCUACGGGAGGCAGCAGUGGGGAAUUUUGGACAAUGGGGGCAACCCUGAUCCAGCCAUGCCGCGUGAGUGAAGAAGGCCUUCGGGUUGUAAAGCUCUUUCAGACGGAAAGAAAUCGGGCGCGUGAAUAGCGUGCCUGGAUGACGGUACUGUCAGAAGAAGCACCGGCUAACUACGU
rnacentral:rRNA from 1 species